UUCAACUGAUGAUAAAUAUUCCAGUUCUGCUGCUGAAAACAGCUUGAAGAUAACUUUGCUUACCUUUCUGACCU
rnacentral:snoRNA from 1 species